AUGUGUAUCCCAAAGAAACAAGGAGGUAUGAGUUUCAAGGAUUUGGAGAGUUUCAAUCUUGCUAUCUUGUAAAAACAAUGUUGGAGGUUGCUUUGUGCGCCAAAUUCUUUAUGCGCCCAAGUUCUUCGUGCUAAGUAUUUUCCCUCAGGUGUUCUAUUAAAUUGUGAACUGAAAAAGGGAAGCUCCUACACUUGGCAAAGCAUUUGGGCAGGAAUUCGAACUUUUAAAAGAUGA
rnacentral:rRNA from 1 species